UACGUAGGGUGCGAGCGUUGUCCGGAAUUAUUGGGCGUAAAGAGCUCGUAGGCGGUUUGUCGCGUCUGCUGUGAAAACUCGGGGCUUAACUCCGGGCCUGCAGUGGGUACGGGCAGACUAGAGUGCGGUAGGGGAGACUGGAAUUCCUGGUGUAGCGGUGAAAUGCGCAGAUAUCAGGAGGAACACCGGUGGCGAAGGCGGGUCUCUGGGCCGAUACUGACGCUGAGGAGCGAAAGCGUGGGGAGCAAACAGG
rnacentral:rRNA from 1 species